rnacentral:misc_RNA from 1 species
AAGAGAGACCCGGGGGUGCUUUUGGGCCCCCGAACCUCCCACCCUUUGUGAAUUUACCUUUAAGUUGCUUUGGCGGGGCGAGGUCAGCAAUGACCCCGCUGGCCCCUUGGGGUUAGCGAGCCCCCGCCGGAGGACACAAAAAAUCUUGCUUAAAAUCGUGAAGUCUGAACAAGUUAUAUUUUAAUAGCGAAA